GAUGAACGCUAGCGGCAGGCCUAAUACAUGCAAGUCGAGGGGCAGCACGGGUAGCAAUAUCUGGUGGCGACCGGCGCACGGGUGCGUAACACGUAUACAAUCUGCCUUUUACAGGGGAAUAGCCCGGAGAAAUUCGGAUUAAUGCCCCAUAAUAGAUUUACUGGCAUCAGUAGAUUUUGAAAGCUCCGGCGGUAAAAGAUGAGUAUGCGCAUGAUUAGCUAGUUGGUAGUGUAAUGGACUACCAAGGCAACGAUCAUUAGGGGAUCUGAGAGGACUACCCCCCACACUGGUACUGAGACACGGGCCAGACUCCUACGGGAGGCAGCAGUAAGGAAUAUUGGUCAAUGGAGGCAACUCUGAACCAGCCAUGCCGCGUGCAGGAUGAAUGCCCUAUGGGUAGUAAACUGCUUUUAUACGGGAGAAAACCCGGGUACGUGUACCCGGUUGAUAGUACUGUAAGAAUAAGGAUCGGCUAACUUCGUGCCAGCAGCCGCCGUAACAC
rnacentral:rRNA from 1 species